rnacentral:misc_RNA from 1 species
GAUGAAGAACGCAGCGAAAUGCGAUAAGUAAUGUGAAUUGCAGAGUUCAGUGAAUCAUCGAAUCUUUGAACGCACAUUGCGCCCGCCAGUAUUCUGGCGGGCAUGCCUGUUCGAGCGUCAUUUCAACCAUCAAGCCCCAGGCUUGUGUUGGGGUCCUGCGGCUGCCGCAGGCCCUGAAAAACAGUGGCGGGCUCGCUGUCACACCGAGCGUAGUAAUACAUCUCGCUUUGGACGUGCGGCGGGUUCUUGCCGUUAAACACCCCCCUUCUCAAGGUUGACCUCGGAUCAGGUAGGAAUACCCGCUGAACUUAAGCAUAUCAAUAAGCGGAGGA